UGGGGAAUUUUCCGCAAUGGGCGAAAGCCUGACGGAGCAAUACCGCGUGAGGGAGGAAGGCUCUUGGGUUGUAAACCUCUUUUCUCAGGGAAGAAGCCAGUGACGGUACCUGAGGAAUAAGCAUCGGCUAACUCUGUGCCAGCAGCCGCGGUAAUACGGAGGAUGCAAGCGUUAUCCGGAAUCAUUGGGCGUAAAGCGUCCGCAGGUGGCUAUGCAAGUCUGCUGUUAAAGAGUGGAGCUCAACUCCAUAAGGGCAGUGGAAACUGCGUAACUAGAGUACGUUCGGGGUAGAGGGAAUUCCUGGUGUAGCGGUGAAAUGCGUAGAUAUCAGGAAGAACACCGGUGGCGAAAGCGCUCUACUAGGCCGUAACUGACACUGAGAGACGAAAGCUAAGGGAGCGAAUGGGAUUAGAUACCCCCGUAGUCC
rnacentral:rRNA from 1 species